rnacentral:rRNA from 2 species
CACCAAAAUGCACAGGCUGUGAACUCGAAGAGUAGGGCGGGACACGUGGUAUCCUGUCUGAAUAUGGGGGGACCAUCCUCCAAGGCUAAAUACUCCUGACUGACCGAUAGUGAACCAGUACCGUGAGGGAAAGGCGAAAAGAACCCCGGCGAGGGGAGUGAAAAAGAACCUGAAACCGUGUACGUACAAGCAGUGGGAGCACCUUCGGGUGUGACUGCGUACCUUUUGUAUAAUGGGUCAGCGACUUAUAUUCUGUAGCAAGGUUAACCGUAUAGGGGAGCCGCAGGGAAACCGAGUCUUAACUGGGCGUUAAGUUGCAGGGUAUAGACCCGAAACCCGGUGAUCUAGCCAUGGGCAGGUUGAAGGUUGGGUAACACUAACUGGAGGACCGAACCGACUAAUGUUGAAAAAUUAGCGGAUGACUUGUGGCUGGGGGUGAAAGGCCAAUCAAACCGGGAGAUAGCUGGUUCUCCCCGAAAGCUAUUUAGGUAGCGCCUCGUGAAUUCAUCUUCGGGGGUAGAGCACUGUUUCGGCUAGGGGGUCAUCCCGACUUACCAACCCGAUGCAAACUACGAAUACCGAAGAAUGUUAUCACGGGAGACACACGGCGGGUGCUAACGUCCGUCGUGAAGAGGGAAACAACCCAGACCGCCAGCUAAGGUCCCAAAGUCAUGGUUAAGUGGGAAACGAUGUGGGAAGGCACAGACAGCCAGGAUGUUGGCUUAGAAGCAGCCAUCAUUUAAAGAAAGCGUAAUAGCUCACUGGUCGAGUCGGCCUGCGCGGAAGAUGUAACGGGGCUAAACCAUGCACCGAAGCUGCGGCAGCGACACUAUGUGUUGUUGGGUAGGGGAGCGUUCUGUAAGCCUGCGAAGGUGACCUGUGAGGGUUGCUGGAGGUAUCAGAAGUGCGAAUGCUGACAUAAGUAACGAUAAAGCGGGUGAAAAGCCCGCUCGCCGGAAGACCAAGGGUUCCUGUCCAACGUUAAUCGGGGCAGGGUGAGUCGACCCCUAAGGCGAGGCCGAAAGGCGUAGUCGAUGGGAAACAGGUUAAUAUUCCUGUACUUGGUGUUACUGCGAAGGGGGGACGGAGAAGGCUAUGUUAGCCGGGCGACGGUUGUCCCGGUUUAAGCAUGUAGGCGGAGGUUCCAGGUAAAUCCGGUACCUUUUAACGCUGAGGUGUGAUGACGAGGCACUACGGUGCUGAAGUAACAAAUGCCCUGCUUCCAGGAAAAGCCUCUAAGCAUCAGGUAACAUCAAAUCGUACCCCAAACCGACACAGGUGGUCAGGUAGAGAAUACCAAGGCGCUUGAGAGAACUCGGGUGAAGGAACUAGGCAAAAUGGUGCCGUAACUUCGGGAGAAGGCACGCUGGUGUGUAGGUGAAGUCCCUGCGGACGGAGCUGAGACCAGUCGAAGAUACCAGCUGGCUGCAACUGUUUAUUAAAAACACAGCACUGUGCAAACACGAAAGUGGACGUAUACGGUGUGACGCCUGCCCGGUGCCGGAAGGUUAAUUGAUGGGGUUAUCCGUAAGGAGAAGCUCUUGAUCGAAGCCCCGGUAAACGGCGGCCGUAACUAUAACGGUCCUAAGGUAGCGAAAUUCCUUGUCGGGUAAGUUCCGACCUGCACGAAUGGCGUAAUGAUGGCCAGGCUGUCUCCACCCGAGACUCAGUGAAAUUGAACUCGCUGUGAAGAUGCAGUGUACCCGCGGCAAGACGGAAAGACCCCGUGAACCUUUACUAUAGCUUGACACUGAACAUUGAGCCUUGAUGUGUAGGAUAGGUGGGAGGCUUUGAAGCGUGGACGCCAGUCUGCGUGGAGCCAACCUUGAAAUACCACCCUUUAAUGUUUGAUGUUCUAACGUUGGCCCCUUAUCGGGGUUGCGGACAGUGUCUGGUGGGUAGUUUGACUGGGGCGGUCUCCUCCCAAAGAGUAACGGAGGAGCACGAAGGUUAGCUAAUCCUGGUCGGACAUCAGGAGGUUAGUGCAAUGGCAUAAGCUAGCUUGACUGCGAGCGUGACGGCGCGAGCAGGUGCGAAAGCAGGUCAUAGUGAUCCGGUGGUUCUGAAUGGAAGGGCCAUCGCUCAACGGAUAAAAGGUACUCCGGGGAUAACAGGCUGAUACCGCCCAAGAGUUCAUAUCGACGGCGGUGUUUGGCACCUCGAUGUCGGCUCAUCACAUCCUGGGGCUGAAGUAGGUCCCAAGGGUAUGGCUGUUCGCCAUUUAAAGUGGUACGCGAGCUGGGUUUAGAACGUCGUGAGACAGUUCGGUCCCUAUCUGCCGUGGGCGCUGGAGAAUUGAGGGGGGCUGCUCCUAGUACGAGAGGACCGGAGUGGACGCAUCACUGGUGUUCGGGUUGUCAUGCCAAUGGCACUGCCCGGUAGCUAAAUGCGGAAGAGAUAAGUGCUGAAAGCAUCUAAGCACGAAACUUGCCCCGAGAUGAGUUCUCCCUGAGACUUUAAGUCUCCUGAAGGAACGUUGAAGACGACGACGUUGAUAGGCCGGGUGUGUAAGCGCAGCGAUGCGUUGAGCUAACCGGUACUAAUGAACCGUGAGGCUUAACCUU